rnacentral:piRNA from 1 species
AUUGCGAGCUGGGCACGGAGCAGGCGCCAU